rnacentral:rRNA from 1 species
AUUGAACGCUAGCGGCAUGCCUUACACAUGCAAGUCGAACGGCAGCACGGGGCAACCUGGUGGCGAGUGGCGAACGGGUGAGUAAUGUAUCGGAACGUGCCCAGUAGCGGGGGAUAACUACGCGAAAGCGUAGCUAAUACCGCAUACGCCCUACGGGGGAAAGGGGGGGAUCGCAAGACCUCUCACUAUUGGAGCGGCCGAUAUCGGAUUAGCUAGUUGGUGAGGUAAAGGCUCACCAAGGCUUCGAUCCGUAGCUGGUUUGAGAGGACGACCAGCCACACUGGGACUGAGACACGGCCCAGACUCCUACGGGAGGCAGCAGUGGGGAAUUUUGGACAAUGGGGGCAACCCUGAUCCAGCAAUGCCGCGUGUGCGAAGAAGGCCUUCGGGUUGUAAAGCACUUUUGGCGGGAACGAAACGGUGCCGGAUAAUACCUGGCGCCACUGACGGUACCCGCAGAAUAAGCACCGGCUAACUACGU